rnacentral:sRNA from 1 species
GGGGAACUGGGAAAUUAUGAAAAGCUACUUUCUUAUGUGCCAUCCUUUCUGUCAGGGACGUCACGCCGGUCAGCGUAAAAGCCCGACGCUCAAUCGAAGAGGGUGGCGAGAAGGAAGGACGAGGACAGAAUAGCCGAGGGAUGAAAAGGAACAGGAGCCGGACUAAUGGCUGACCGAUGCGACUUUUAGACGUUGGAAGGUCUAGAAGGUGAAAAGAGGCAACGGGACUGGGACAAGGUAAGAGAAGACAACAGUAUUGAUUUUCCUGGGAGACUAUGAAAACUAUGAAACUACAGUUUAUAUAUGUUUCCUAGUUUUCCUUGCUUACUCAUCUUUCUCAUACUGUUAACUCAUGUACCGGACAGGGCCCGAGGAGGUGGUGAGCAUGCUGACCAGAGCAUGUGUAGAUAGCUCGAGGGAGACAGGAAGGUAGAAGGUGGCGAGAGAGAGACCGAAGGACGAAGAGAGAGGUUGAGAAAUCAAAAAGAAUUUAGACGAUCGGCCGCGGUCGUCGGAGGUGGAGGUACUUUGGUUCGGCGGCCGAGAGAGGUGGAGGUUUCGGGUGUCACUUCUGCAUAGCGCCGUGACACUUUCCUUCUGCUUACUCCUCAUCUCUCUCGGAAUAAAGAUGUCGCUAAUUCGUAAUAGGGGCGGGGCUGUCGGACCGGAGGGAAGUGAAUAGUGACCAUGUGUUGGGGAAAAAGAGGAAGGCUGACCAGGCGAAAGAAGGAAGAGGCAAGCCGAAGGAUUGUGGUAUGAAGUUAGGAAGCAGAUCAGACCAUCAACGAUCAUCAUGUCGGAUUCUAGGUUGCUUAUGAUGCAUAAAGAAAGAGAAGAAAAAC